GAAAAGCUGAAGCAUCUGAAAUUAGGCUCUCCGGAAAGUUUUCACUACAUGAACCAAGGACUGCGAGAGGCUCCCAAACGGUCAUCCAAGACCCGCCAGGGACAUCAAGACAAUUUUCACUACCUCAAACAAGGC